GCUAAUGAGCCUGAGUGUGAGCCUGAGAAAGUCUGACCAUAGAGAUUCUCACUGCUACUCACGGAUGACUGGGUCCCUGUGGGAGAGACAUCAAGAGCGCACGCUCCAGCUAAGCCAAUCCAAACGACAACCAGAAAGAAAGAAACGUUCUGGGAAAGUUGCAGUUUGUGGAUGGGAGGAUGGAAACGGAUAAAUAAAGUGAUUUCCUCUC